GGACGGGUGAGUAAUGCCUAGGAAUCUGCCUGGUAGUGGGGGACAACGUUUCGAAAGGAACGCUAAUACCGCAUACGUCCUACGGGAGAAAGCAGGGGACCUUCGGGCCUUGCGCUAUCAGAUGAGCCUAGGUCGGAUUAGCUAGUUGGUGAGGUAAUGGCUCACCAAGGCGACGAUCCGUAACUGGUCUGAGAGGAUGAUCAGUCACACUGGAACUGAGACACGCGUCCAGACUCCUACGGGAGGCAGCAGUGGGGAAUAUUGGACAAUGGGCGAAAGCCUGAUCCAGCCAUGCCGCGUGUGUGAAGAAGGUCUUCGGAUUGUAAAGCACUUUAAGUUGGGAGGAAGGGCAUGCACCUAAUACGUGUGUGUCUUGACGUUACCGACAGAAUAAGCACCGGCUAACUCUGUGCCAGCAGCCGCGGUAAUACAGAGGGUGCAAGCGUUAAUCGGAAUUACUGGGCGUAAAGCGCGCGUAGGUGGUUCGUUAAGUUGAAUGUGAAAUCCCCGGGCUCAACCUGGGAACUGAUCCAAAACUGGCGAGCUAGAGUAUGGUAGAGGGUGGUGGAAUUUCCUGUGUAGCGGUGAAAUGCGUAGAUAUAGGAAGGAACACCAGUG
rnacentral:rRNA from 1 species